UACGUAGGUGGCAAGCGUUGUCCGGAAUUACUGGGUGUAAAGGGCGUGUAGGCGGGGAGACAAGUCAGAUGUGAAAUACCGUGGCUUAACUGCGGGGGUGCAUCUGAAACUGUUUCUCUUGAGUGUCGGAGAGGAAAGUGGAAUUCCCAGUGUAGCGGUGAAAUGCGUAGAGAUUGGGAGGAACACCAGUGGCGAAGGCGGCUUUCUGGACGAUAACUGACGCUGAGGCGCGAAAGCGUGGGUAGCAAACAGGAUUAGAUACCCUGGUAGUCCCU
rnacentral:rRNA from 1 species